UCCAGAUAUCAAGUUCAACAAGAGUAGGACUUCCAGAAAAGAAUUCAAUGAAAAAUAAGGUUUGGAAGUCUUGUUCACGAAUUUUUGUUCUUGAUUGCGCCAGGCAGAAAUAUUCUGGACAGUCACUGCCAAAGACUAAUUUUUUUUUCUUAUCUUUUUCUUUGAAUAACAAGAAUAAUUAAACAAGGAAUACAAGGAAACAAUCAAAGACACAAAAAAGUUUUUUUUUGUUGAAGUUUUUGUUAUGGAUAUGCAAGAAAUAAGAUAGCAAAUAACUGAACAUAGCACUUAGAAGCAGUUAUUGGUUUCUCUACUUGAUUUUGAGGCAGUAGGCAGCAGCUAUGUGAGGCAGUAGGCAGUUGCUAUUGAAAGAGAAAUCAUAUCAAGAAAUUUUUCUUCCGGUAUCCAACUCAUGAAAAUCUUUCUUGGAAUCAAGGAUGACUGCUGUUGUUGCCUUUUAAUUGAUAUUGAAGUAGAUCUAUGAACUUAUUUUGAGUGUUGUUAUUGACUUGUAGUUGAUAUUGAAGUGGACUAGUGAACUUACUUAUUUUGAGUGCUUUAAGUGUAGUUGAUAUUGAAGUGAAGUUUUGAACUUAUUUUGGACUUUUGAAUGUUUAAAAAUUUGUAUUAUUUAUUUAUGGAUAAAACAGUAAGUGUA